GCAUUACUUUCUUCAAUAUUUGCAAUCAGGGGGUUUACUUCUUCGUCGAAAUUCUGCACGCAACAUAGAAAUCAGCGUGGAGGAUGCGAUGAAAUAGGCACUGAGUUGGAGGAGAUGGAACUUACUAACAGAUCCCCAGUAGUUGCUAGUGGUACCGGCUCUGUUCCUUCCACGGACUCAGCUGUAGGCUGUGGCUCUUCUUCAGGCUCUGAAGGUAACAACUAAUAAUAUCUCUGCAGCAAACCUGUUUCUCUGAGAAGCAUUAAGCAGUAGGACAAUCCACUUAUCUUGGAGGAUACUUGAAUCAGAUGUAUACGUGUGAAUGAUCGAGAAUUCAAGAUAUGUUCUAGUUUAGUUUAGGGUUGGAAAUUGGUUUGAGGUUGCAUAUUUGUACUCAGCGAGGACGAUGAGCAGCCUCUUCUUCCAUCUUACUGACGCAAUGAACGAGAAAGCCGGUGCUUCGGUGGUACGGAAACUCUGAAAGUGAUAGUCUGAACUUGAUCAAGUCUUCAUCAAGUCUUCAAGAUCAGCACAUUCACCCAGAAAACACAUACUCCUAGUACAGUACAUUUCAACUACUAAUAAGUAAAUACUGCUGGAGAUCCAAUUCAUGUUUAGUCAUUGCUUAAUCAGUACAUAUUCGUGUAUUGUGUAUUCCUUUAUGUGAAAAAGAUUUCUAGGAGCUGGAAGUGUGGGC
rnacentral:sRNA from 1 species